AAUCUUCGCAAUGCGCGAAAGCGCGACGAGGUUAUUCCGAGUGCAAUCUGCUGAAGAUAGCUUUUGUCAGGUGUAAAUAGCCUGAAGAAUAAGGGGAGGGAAAGCCUGGUGUCAGCCGCCGCGGUAAAACCAGCUCCUCGAGUGGUCGGGAUGUUUAUUGGGCCUAAAGCAUCCGUAGCCGGUUCCGAAGGUCUCCUGUUAAAUCCAACGGCUCAACCGUUGGGCUGCGGGAGAUACCACGGGACUAGGAGGCGGGAGAGGCAGACGGUAUUCCGUGGGUAGGGGUAAAAUCCGCUGAUCCACGGAGGACCACCAGUGGCGAAGGCGGUCUGCCAGAACGCGCUCGACGGUGAGGGAUGAAAGCUGGGGGAGCGAACCGG
rnacentral:rRNA from 1 species